rnacentral:rRNA from 1 species
AUUGAACGCUGGCGGCAGGCUUAACACAUGCAAGUCGAGCGGAGAUGAGGUGCUUGCACCUUAUCUUAGCGGCGGACGGGUGAGUAAUGCUUAGGAACCUGCCUAUUAGUGGGGGACAACAUUCCGAAAGGAAUGCUAAUACCGCAUACGUCCUACGGGAGAAAGCAGGGGAUCUUCGGACCUUGCGCUAAUAGAUGAGCCUAAGUCGGAUUAGCUAGUUGGUGGGGUAAAGGCCUACCAAGGCGACGAUCUGUAGCGGUUCUGAGAGGAUGGUCCGCCACACUGGGACUGAGACACGGCCCAGACUCCUACGGGAGGCAGCAGUGGGGAAUAUUGGACAAUGGGGGGAACCCUGAUCCAGCCAUGCCGCGUGUGUGAAGAAGGCCUUAUGGUUGUAAAGCACUUUAAGCGAGGAGGAGGCUACUGAGACUAAUACUCUUGGAUAGUGGACGUUACUCGCAGAAUAAGCACCGACUAACUCUGUGCCAGCCGCCGCAGUAA